rnacentral:lncRNA from 1 species
GUACCUCUGGAGCAACAGCCAGCCAAAGGCUCGUAGAUUUUCUUUCCCUAGGCCCAGCAAGUGAGCCAAUAGCUUUUGGUUUUUACUUUCUUAUUCCUGGUAAAUCCGCAGUUUUUUUGCACUUAGGUCCUAGGGUAGUAAACGUUGAUUGAAACAAAAGAACCCUUGGAUCAAUUCGCCGUCUUCUAAAGAAAAGUCUCUAAAAAAUGAGUUCUUCUAGUCUUGAAAACAGCCUGACAACUAUUCAAAUAUGUAAUUUAAAAUCCCCUUACCUCCUUGAAAGUGUUGUCACUAUUUAGUACGUUUAUCCAAUAGUGUUAAGAUGAGCGUGUCUACCCAAAUUCGGUGCAGAGCUCUUAGGCAAUGUAAAUAAACUACUUUGAAGAUUCAUGUGUUCAUAUGAAGCCACAUACUGUUUAUUAACCAGCACACUGAGUGUUUUGUACAAGCUGUUCUUGAAUAAUCAAGUAAUUGGGCCACACAGGCUUGGAUGUACACCAGGAGAUAUCCAGCUCAUGUUACAGUUAACUGAUGUAAAGGUGCUGGGAAUACUCACUGAACAAAGCAAGUAUGGCAUGAGCUUUUAUUUGCCUACAGUCUUAAGGGAAAGACAAAGGCUAUCUUUGUGCAGUGAAUUAAGAAAGGGAAAUGCUGUAUGCCAGGAAGGGGUCUACAAUACACCAUUGUGGCCUAAAAAUUAUUUUGAGCAAAGACAUUUGAGUUUCUGAAAUCUACCUGUCUAAAUGCAGAACCACACGGAGGAAUUCAAAUCAAGCUCCUCCCUGGGAGGGAAACCCAGGAAGACUGACUCUUAUCACUGGAGGUUAGAAGCUGGCAACACACUUGAAUAGACAUUGUCACAAAGCUAUCAUAUCUGGCAUCUGUUUUAAGGUGUCAUUUAUUUUUACUAAAAGUCAUUUGUUUUUUCCAUACGUGCUGUUUUCCCCUUUCCUUCCCUUUAUAAGAUGGUAGAUAAGUCAGAACUCUACCUCCCUGAAUCACCUUUUUCUGUGAACUCUAUUAUGUAUGUGGUUAAGUCUGUCUUUUCUUUUGCUAAUCUGUUUUGUCACUUUAAGUCUGGGGCCUGCAAACACUGAAUCUAAGAAAGUAGACAAAAAGUAUUUCCUCCCUAAGAGCCAAGAGAUACUACAGCAAAAGAAUUUAAUUUUGGAGUUAGGUGAGUUAUGCAACAACUUUUGAGAUAAGUAGACUUUUGCCAGACUAAUGGGCAGAAGAAAAGUAUGGCAGGUGAAAGGAACAAUGUGUAAAGACAGAUAAUGAUGUGAGACAUCGGAGAACUUAAAACAACUACCCUGAAUCUUAAAGCCUGAUGGGGAAGGCCAAAGAGGUAGAUAGGGGUCUGAUUAUGGAAAACUUAUGUGCCACUUAAAGAACAGUGAUAUGUUUAUGCAGAGCAGUGGUUAUUUUGACUGCUUCAAUUGGAAAUAAAUAGCGGAGACAAGAGUGGAUACAGGGAAACUAGUUAAUGUGAUGUAGGGGAGGCAAAAUGGGAUGACAGGGCAUUACAUGUGGAAAGAAUUGGAAUCAGGAGACAUUAGAAGAUAAAAUUACUUAAAUUUGAUGAUUCAUUGAAUGUGGAGAAUUGGAAGGGUUAAACGACUCCAAGUUUAAGAUUUGAAUUAUUAACCCAUGGGGAGGCACAUUGUAUCCUGAGAUGAGAAACACAGGACAAGGAACAUUUUGGGGGUGAGGGGCAGGGCAAGUUAAUGUGUUUUAUUUUUACAUGUGGACUUUGAGGAACUUAUGAAACAUACAAAUGGAGUAUCUAGAAAGCAGGCUGUAAGAGUUAAAAGCACAGAGCCACCGCACAUUGCCCCAAAAUAAAAUUGGAAGCCCUCCC